rnacentral:rRNA from 1 species
CCUACGGGUGGCAGCAGUCGAGAAUCAUUCACAAUGGGGGAAACCCUGAUGGUGCGACGCCGCGUGGGGGAAUGAAGGUCUUCGGAUUGUAAACCCCUGUCAUGUGGGAGCAAAUUAAAAAGAUAGUACCACAAUAGGAAGAGACGGCUAACUCUGUGCCAGCAGCCGCGGUACUACAGAGGUCUCAAGCGUUGUUCGGAAUCACUGGGCGUAAAGCGUGCGUAGGCGGUUUCGUAAGUCGAGUGUGAAAGGCGCGGGCUCAACCCGGGAACGGCACAUGAUACUGGGAGACUAGAGUAAUGGAGGGGGAAGCGGAAUUCUCGGUGUAGCAGUGAAAUGCGUAGAGAUCGAGAGGAACACUCGUGGCGAAGGCGGGUUCCUGGACAUUAACUGACGCUGAGGCACGAAGGCCAGGGGAGCGAAAGGGAUUAGAUACCCCUGUAGUC